AGAGUUUGAUCAUGGCUCAGAUUGAACGCUGGCGGCAGGCCUAACACAUGCAAGUCGAGCGGUAGCACAGAGAGCUUGCUCUCGGGUGACGAGCGGCGGACGGGUGAGUAAUGUCUGGGAAACUGCCUGAUGGAGGGGGAUAACUACUGGAAACGGUAGCUAAUACCGCAUAAUGUCGCAAGACCAAAGUGGGGGACCUUCGGGCCUCAUGCCAUCAGAUGUGCCCAGAUGGGAUUAGCUAGUAGGUGGGGUAACGGCUCACCUAGGCGACGAUCCCUAGCUGGUCUGAGAGGAUGACCAGCCACACUGGAACUGAGACACGGUCCAGACUCCUACGGGAGGCAGCAGUGGGGAAUAUUGCACAAUGGGCGCAAGCCUGAUGCAGCCAUGCCGCGUGUGUGAAGAAGGCCUUCGGGUUGUAAAGCACUUUCAGCGGGGAGGAAGGCGGUGAGGUUAAUAACCUCAUCGAUUGACGUUACCCGCAGAAGAAGCACCGGCUAACUCCGUGCCAGCAGCCGCGGUAAUACGGAGGGUGCAAGCGUUAAUCGGAAUUACUGGGCGUAAAGCGCACGCAGGCGGUCUGUCAAGUCGGAUGUGAAAUCCCCGGGCUCAACCUGGGAACUGCAUUCGAAACUGGCAGGCUAGAGUCUUGUAGAGGGGGGUAGAAUUCCAGGUGUAGCGGUGAAAUGCGUAGAGAUCUGGAGGAAUACCGGUGGCGAAGGCGGCCCCCUGGACAAAGACUGACGCUCAGGUGCGAAAGCGUGGGGAGCAAACAGGAUUAGAUACCCUGGUAGUCCACGCUGUAAACGAUGUCGAUUUGGAGGUUGUGCCCUUGAGGCGUGGCUUCCGGAGCUAACGCGUUAAAUCGACCGCCUGGGGAGUACGGCCGCAAGGUUAAAACUCAAAUGAAUUGACGGGGGCCCGCACAAGCGGUGGAGCAUGUGGUUUAAUUCGAUGCAACGCGAAGAACCUUACCUGGUCUUGACAUCCACAGAACUUUCCAGAGAUGGAUUGGUGCCUUCGGGAACUGUGAGACAGGUGCUGCAUGGCUGUCGUCAGCUCGUGUUGUGAAAUGUUGGGUUAAGUCCCGCAACGAGCGCAACCCUUAUCCUUUGUUGCCAGCGGUCCGGCCGGGAACUCAAAGGAGACUGCCAGUGAUAAACUGGAGGAAGGUGGGGAUGACGUCAAGUCAUCAUGGCCCUUACGACCAGGGCUACACACGUGCUACAAUGGCAUAUACAAAGAGAAGCGACCUCGCGAGAGCAAGCGGACCUCAUAAAGUAUGUCGUAGUCCGGAUUGGAGUCUGCAACUCGACUCCAUGAAGUCGGAAUCGCUAGUAAUCGUAGAUCAGAAUGCUACGGUGAAUACGUUCCCGGGCCUUGUACACACCGCCCGUCACACCAUGGGAGUGGGUUGCAAAAGAAGUAGGUAGCUUAACCUUCGGGAGGGCGCUUACCACUUUGUGAUUCAUGACUGGGGUGAAGUCGUAACAAGGUAACCGUAGGGGAACCUGCGGUUG
rnacentral:rRNA from 1 species